rnacentral:misc_RNA from 1 species
GGGUGAUUCUAUACUGAAGAGUGUUAGAGUUGACAUAACAAGAGGAGUAAUCAUGGGGAUUAUUGGCCCCAGUGGUAGCGGAAAAUCAACAAUUUUACGAGCGCUAAAUCGAUUAUGGGAACCCCUAAGGGCACUGUUUUUCUUGAUGGUACUGAUAUUUGUGAUCUGGAUGUGCUCUGUCUUCGUCGUAAGGUUGGCAUGUUGUUCCAGCUUCCAGUUCUCUUUGAAGGUAUGGUUGUUAAAUUGCUAAGAUCAAACUAAAAACGCUAACCUAUUAGUAAAUUAGACAGACUUGAACUUGACCAAUUUGAAAGUUCACUGUGUCUGAUACAAUCACAGUAACUACUGAUGCUUGAUUCAUGAAUAUGUAGGUACAGUGGCAGAUAAUAUACGUUACGGGCCAAAACUCAAGGGAAAGAAACUAAGUGAUAAUGAGGUUUACAAGUUGCUGACUUUGGCUGAUCUAGACUCAUCUUUCUUCAACAAGUCAGGUGGGGAACUAUCUGUUGGCCAAGCACAGAGAGUUGCACUUGCCAGAACCUUAGCUAAUGAACCAGAGGUUCUGCUAUUGGAUGAGCCAACUAGUGCAUUAGAUCCAAUAUCAACACAGAAUAUCGAGGACGUUCUAGUAAAGCUCAAGAAGGAUCAGAAGAUGACAAUUGUGAUAGUUUCUCAUAGCAUCAAGCAAAUACAGAGAAUAGCUGAUAUAGUGUGCCUGCUGGUUGAUGGGGAGAUUGUGGAAAUUAUAAAGCCUGAUCAACUCUCUGAAGCUAAGCAUCCCAUGGCACUAAGAUUUCUUCAACUCAGCUCCUAGUGUAUUUUAGGCGAAAAGUAGAACCAGGGACAAGGAAAGUACAUCAAGGCACGAACUAGCGGAGAAGCAUGAUAAUGGUUAGCAAGAGAGAUUCAAGUCACCAAAAUAUGGAAGAAUCUCAACCCAUUCGAGUGAGCCAAUCUUAACUGAGGUUAAUUUAGCUACUGAAACUACGUGUAGAAAAAUACACUUUAAUAAAAAAGGUAUUUUACCUCCCACGACAAUCUUUCCGAUGGCGCAACCAAGAAAAACGGGGCAAAUUCUUGUAAAGGUUUUA